UACAGAGACCUCGAGCGUUAUCCGGAUUCACUGGGCGUAAAGCGUCCGCAGGUGGUCCGUUAAGUCAUUUGUCAAAUCCCGGUGCUCAACAUCGGAACCGCGAAUGAUACUGGCGGACUUGAGGAUGGAAGAGGCAAGAGGAACAGCCGGUGUAGUAGUAAAAUGCGUUAAUAUCGGCUGGAACACCAAAGGCGAAGGCAUCUUGCUGGGACAUUCCUGACACUCAUGGACGAAAGCGUGGGGAG
rnacentral:rRNA from 1 species